AAGUUUACUAAAUAAAAUUAUUAUAAAAAUAAUUUAAAUAUGGCUAUGGAGCCAAUAACAGCUUUUAUGCUUGGCGCGUGUUUGAUUGCUUGUUGGCCAUGCUACUUGCCCUACUGUCUAGCGCUACCUGUAAUUUCCUUUCCUUUUGUAAUUGUCCGUGAAUCUAGCAGUUCGAAAUGGAAGAAGCGAAAUUUUAACUGAUAACAAUUGUAACAAUUACUACAUAGUUUAGACAAACAGUGGAUUCUUGUUGAAGAAAAAAAGAAACGUAACAUAAUUCAAUUUUGUAACUGGUAUUUGUAAAUAAAAUAUGACGUCUAAAUCCUAA
rnacentral:lncRNA from 1 species